AAAUAGACUACCCAGGUAGUCCACGCCGUAAACGUUGGGCGCUAGAUGUGGGGGGGCCAUUCCACGGUUUCCGCGUCGUAGCUAACGCAUUAAGCGCCCCGCCUGGGGAGUACGGCCGGCAAGGCUAAAACUCAAAGGAAUUGACGGGGGCCCGCACAAGCGGCGGAGCAUGCGGAUUAAUUCGAUGCAACGCGAAGAACCUUACCAAGGCUUGACAUAUACGAGAACACUGCAGAAAUGUAGGACUCUUUGGACACUCGUAUACAGGUGGUGCAUGGUUGUCGUCAGCUCGUGUCGUGAGAUGUUGGGUUAAGUCCCGCAACGAGCGCAACCCUCGUCGCAUGUUGCCAGCACGUAAAGGUGGGAACUCAUGUGAGGACUGCCGGGGUCAACGUCGGAGGAAGGUGGGGAUGACGUCAAAUCAUCAUGCCCCUUAUGUCUUGGGCUUCACGCAUGCUACAAUGGCCGGUACAAAGGGCUGCAAUACCGUAAGGUGGAGCGAAUCCCAAAAAGCCGGUCUCAGUUCGGA
rnacentral:rRNA from 1 species